rnacentral:rRNA from 1 species
AUUGCCUCAGUAACGGCGAGUGAAGCGGCAAAAGCUCAAAUUUGAAAUCUGGCCUCUGGUCCGAGUUGUAAUUUGAAGAAGCGACUUUGGUACCGGCUCUUGUCUAUGUUCCUUGGAACAGGACGUCACAGAGGGUGAGAAUCCCGUGCGAUGAGAUGUCCGGUGCUAUGUAAAGCGUUUUCGACGAGUCGAGUUGUUUGGGAAUGCAGCUCUAAGUGGGUGGUAAAUUCCAUCUAAAGCUAAAUAUUGGCGAGAGACCGAUAGCGAACAAGUACAGUGAUGGAAAGAUGAAAAGAACUUUGAAAAGAGAGUGAAAAAGUACGUGAAAUUGUUGAAAGGGAAGGGCUUGAGAUCAGACUUUGUAUUUCCAUGGCGCUCUUUCGGGGGUGUCCUCUGGGUUUACAGGGCCAGCAUGGGUUCUGCGGGCGAGAUAAGGACUUAGGAAUGUGGCUCCGCUUCGGGGGAGUGUUAUAGCCUGAUGUACUGGUCGCCACGCGGGACCGAGGACUGCGAAUCUAGGAUGCUGGCAUAAUGAUCUUAAGCCGCCCGUCUUGAAACACGGAC